rnacentral:rRNA from 1 species
UAAUUGAAGAGUUUGAUCAUGGCUCAGAUUGAACGCUGGCGGCAGGCCUAACACAUGCAAGUCGAGCGGCAGCACAGAGGAACUUGUUCCUUGGGUGGCGAGCGGCGGACGGGUGAGUAAUGCCUGGGAAAUUGCCCGGUAGAGGGGGAUAACCAUUGGAAACGAUGGCUAAUACCGCAUAACCUCGCAAGAGCAAAGCAGGGGACCUUCGGGCCUUGCGCUAUCGGAUAUGCCCAGGUGGGAUUAGCUAGUUGGUGAGGUAAGGGCUCACCAAGGCGACGAUCCCUAGCUGGUCUGAGAGGAUGAUCAGCCACACUGGAACUGAGACACGGUCCAGACUCCUACGGGAGGCAGCAGUGGGGAAUAUUGCACAAUGGGCGCAAGCCUGAUGCAGCCAUGCCGCGUGUAUGAAGAAGGCCUUCGGGUUGUAAAGUACUUUCAGUAGGGAGGAAGGUGGUUAAGCUAAUACCUUAACCAUUUGACGUUACCUACAGAAGAAGCACCGGCUAACUCCGUGCCAGCAGCCGCGGUAAUACGGAGGGUG